rnacentral:rRNA from 1 species
UACAGAGGUGGCAAGCGUUGUUCGGAAUUACUGGGCGUAAAGCGCGUGUAGGCGGCUCUUCAAGUCAGGCGUGAAAGCCCUGGGCUCAACCUGGGAAUGGCAUUGGAAACUGGCGACCUAGAGUGCGGUAGAGGGUAGUGGAAUUCCCGGUGUAGCAGUGAAAUGCGUAGAUAUCGGGAGGAACACCAGUGGCGAAGGCGACUUCCUGGCCUGUUCUUGACGCUGAGGCGCGAAAGCUAGGGGAGCAAACGGG